UAUUGCAAGCACAAUAUAUUUACUUAGAGUUAGAGUAAAAUUAAGAUAAUAGAUGGCGCAAACGGAUUUUUUUUCUCAACGUUGACAUGUUAGUAUUAUAAUCUGUGACAAUGAUCUGUGACAUUGUCAAGGUGACAGUUGUUAGUUGACAUACGAUUAUAUCUGAUGUUUGGUGGGCAAAGAAUACAAGGUCUUUGUUUGGUGGGGUUUAUUGAUUACGUCUUCAUUUUGUAUUGGCAAAAAUAUAUCUCCAACUCCUAUCUCUAAAGACGAUGAUAACCAUUAUGAAGAAUGACAUGCAAAGGCUAUUUGAACCACAUAUCAACAAUUUUCUGACCAUGACCAAGUGAUGAAUAUGAUACAAGUCUACCUCAUGAAAGCCACACUACUUUUCAAAGAAAAAUAUUUUCUUUGGAGUUGUAGAUAUUAUAGUGAAAACUUAAUCCUGACUUCUGUUCUGCAUAAAUGAGAAUCGCACUAUGCCAGGUAACAUAAUAUAGCGAGUACCCUGGUUGAGUCAAGAUAAUAUAAAAUAAGUGGAAAGAUAAUGUGGCCCAAGUAGUAAAGGAAAGGAUGUGCAAACAGCCGAAUGUGAAUCUGGCAAUAAUGUGCCUGUUUAAAUGAGUUUUAGUUGAGUACCAAAUAGUUACCUAGGUUUUCCUGGGAAAAACACUG